AGGAAAGUAGGGGAUCGCAAGACCUUGCGCUCUUUGAGCGGCCGAUGUCUGAUUAGCUAGUUGGUGAGGUAAAGGCUUACCAAGGCGACGAUCAGUAGCUGGUCUGAGAGGACGACCAGCCACACUGGGACUGAGACACGGCCCAGACUCCUACGGGAGGCAGCAGUGGGGAAUUUUGGACAAUGGGGGAAACCCUGAUCCAGCCAUGCCGCGUGAGUGAAGAAGGCCUUCGGGUUGUAAAGCUCUUUCAGCCGGAACGAAACGGUCACGGCUAAUACCUGUGACUACUGACGGUACCGGAAGAAGAAGCACCGGCUAACUACGUGCCAGCAGCCGCGGUAAUACGUAGGGUGCAAGCGUUAAUCGGAAUUACUGGGCGUAAAGCGUGCGCAGGCGGUUUUGUAAGUCAGAUGUGAAAUCCCCGGGCUUAACCUGGGAACUGCGUUUGAAACUACAAGGCU
rnacentral:rRNA from 1 species